GCUACACAUGCAGUCGAGCGGAACGAGAAGUAGCUUGCUACUUCGGCGUCGAGCGGCGGACGGGUGAGUAAUGCAUAGGAAGUUGCCCAGUAGAGGGGGAUAACCAUUGGAAACGAUGGCUAAUACCGCAUAACCUCUUCGGAGCAAAGCGGGGGACCUUCGGGCCUCGCGCUACUGGAUACGCCUAUGUGGGAUUAGCUAGUUGGUGAGGUAAUGGCUCACCAAGGCGACGAUCCCUAGCUGGUCUGAGAGGAUGAUCAGCCACACUGGGACUGAGACACGGCCCAGACUCCUACGGGAGGCAGCAGUGGGGAAUAUUGCACAAUGGGCGAAAGCCUGAUGCAGCCAUGCCGCGUGUAUGAAGAAGGCCUUCGGGUUGUAAAGUACUUUCAGUUGUGAGGAAGGAUGUGUAGUUAAUAACUGCGCAUUUUGACGUUAGCAACAGAGAGCACCGGCUAACUCCGUGCCAGCAGCCGCGGUAAUACGGAGGGUGCGAGCGUUAAUCGGAAUUACUGGCGU
rnacentral:rRNA from 1 species